GUUCCUGUUGAACUGUUGGGAGAAGUACAGUGUUUACAGAUUUCCUGUCGGGGAUAUAUCGCAUCUGGGUUGCCUACACUAUUGAAGCACCUUUCAGAUGUCCACAGAUUUGAAGAAAAGCUGGGCCGUAUGUUUGAGAACUGCAUGAAGGAGUUUGCAGAUGCAUCUCGGCUCACAAGACAUAUAAACAGAUAUCAUAAGGGAGCUUAACCAAACAAUUCAUUAAAUUAAGCCCAAUUCUAUUUAAGUC